rnacentral:rRNA from 1 species
UGAUGAUUAAACAAUGGUUUUGAUGGAACACUGCAUCAGCAUCUAGCGAAACAAACGACCUGCAUCGGUAUUUUCAUUCCCUGUACAUAGGGUGGGUUAUUGACAAAUGGAGAGACGGGGACCACAGGAGGGUCUAGCGGCAAAAGAAGAUAGUCGCGACACUGCAUGAGAUAUGAUCGAGCGGGCCAUCAUAUUACUGCCCAUAUGUUUUUGACUGUUUGUCUUUGGUGCUCUGCUAGCACCAAGUCUACGAGAGAUACAUAGCUUCCUCUCUUGGGCAGCGGCAAGAGGAUAAUAGUGAUAGGAGACUAAAAGGACUCCAACGUGCGCAGUAGCUGAAGUAGGAGUGAAGGCAUGAACAGCCGCUGCGGAGCGAGGUAGAGCCGUAUGGUUCAAGCAGGCAAAAACCGCCAAGACAUGACAGGACGAGCGGUCGAUCGAUAACCGCUUGAAUUGACAACACAUCGCAGUUAUCAAAAUUUGACUACCUGUUGCAUAUCGCCUUCAUUACCAUGCAUCACGAUUGCAAUAGAUGGCAAUACACCAACAGCAGAGAACUAUCAGUCAGCCUGUGAACGCUUGUACCAGGACAAGAACGAGAGCAGACGGUGCAGCACCGCUCCUUCGAUGUUGACCCAAGUAAAGGAGAUGUCCAAGGCUGAYSAAUGAAAGGAUUGUCAUGUCUAAAGGGAAACAGNNCCCAGAAACAAGUANGGUUAAAGGUUCCUAAAUUAUUGUUAAGUGAAAAUAAGGAAGUUUUUUNCGUAUACAACCAGGAAAUAGGCUUUAGAAGCGGCCAUUUUUGAAGAUCUCGUAACAGAGCACUGGUUUAUUUUUUAGUUAAAAGCACCAAAAAUUUAACGGAUCUAAACAAUAUACCGACACCUUGUCCAUAGAUAAGUUAAAAUAUCUAUGGGGUAGCGGAAAGUUGGGCAUGUCUUAGAUUUAAUCUUUUCAAGAUUGAAUAAUAGAUUAUUUAUUAAAAAAGAUAAAUUUACAUGUAGAUAGCGCAAAGCGGAAGAAACAUGUGUAUAAUCUAGAGAUUACCCCAAGUGAGAAUGCUGGCAUGAGUAACGAAAAAGGGAUAUCCCUCCGCCUUAAGCUUAUGGUAUAAAGAAAGUAACGGCCUCUAAGUUUAUUAAAUUAUCCUAAAGGAUUGAACGAUGAGAAAAUCUUUACAUAUUUAACAACUUUAUCAAAUUAAUUAAAUAAAAAUUUAAAAGUGGAUAAAGUUCUGGAAAAAAAUAUGAAUUAAACCGUACCUAGAAACUAACACAAGUAAGCGAGUAGAGUAUACGAAGGCGUUUGAGCUAACAAUCAUUAAGGAACUCGGCAAAUUUACACCGUAACUUCGGGAUAAGGUGUGCCAUUUUUACUACAUAAUAUUAGUUUAAAAAUAGGAGGCAUAGAAUGGUGUUGUACGACUGUUUAAUUAAAACAAAGCACUUUGCAAAAGAUGAAUAAUCAAAGUAUUGAGUGUGAUUUCUGCCCGAUGUUGGCUGGUUAACGGAUUUUCUUAGUUGACUAAAAUAAACUAGGUUUUGAAGGAUACCCCAAUCAAUGGCGGCCUUACCGAUGAGGGUCCUAAGGUAGCGGAAUACCCUGGCCGUUAAAUGCGGUCUUGCAUGAAUGAUUUAACGAUACAACAGCUGUCUCAAUGAUUGACUCAGUGAAAUUGGAAUAACUGUGCAGAUACAGUUUACCUCUAGUUAGACGAGAAGACCCUAUGCAGCUUUACUGUUGCUAGUUAUUGGAUAUGAUGGAGCAAGUUGUAGUGUAUAAGGUAAUUGAAAAGAUAAAAUUGAAACACCUUUACUUAGCUUAUCAUAUAAGUAAAAUAAUGAUUAUUUAUUAUAAUCGUAAAGUUUACACAGCUUAUCCAAAUAAGAGGAGCAUUUUUAAUAGUGCUCGGGAAACAGUUGCUAGUAGAUAGUUUAUGCGGGGCACAGAUCCCACAAAUAGUACCUGGGUGUAUCCAAAGUUAAUUUUGUAAAAAAGCUAGUUUAUUUUUAAAGCUAGCUAAUAUGUAAAUAUWUUUUUUUUUAUAAAAGAAUAUUUACAUAUUUUUAUUUUAAUUUGUGAUAGAUUUAUUAAAAUCUAUUCAGUUAUCUAUCUAUUAAGUUAGAUUUAUUAUAUUUAUUUUAAGUAAGAUUUUAACUAUAUGGAAAAUAGAUAUAAAUGAAAUAGUAACUGAAAUUUAUUAUUUGCUACGGUAAAUAUGAAUCACUAUCAGUACUAUUUUUUAUUUUUAUAAUUCGCGCUUUUAUUAUAAAAGCAGUAUAAGCGAUAUAUGAUUGUUAUUUUUUAUUAUAAAAGUUUAAUGGCUUAAUCUUGCUUUACUGUUUGAC